AUGAACGCUGGCGGCGUGCCUAAUACAUGCAAGUCGAGCGCACAGACGAGGAGCUUGCUCCUCUGACGUUCGCGGCGGACGGGUGAGUAACACGUGGAUAACCUACCUAUAAGACUGGGAUAACUUCGGGAAACCGGAGCUAAUACCGGAUAAUAUAUUGAACCGCAUGGUUCAAUAGUGAAAGACGGUUUUGCUGUCACUUAUAGAUGGAUCCGCGCCGCAUUAGCUAGUUGGUAAGGUAACGGCUUACCAAGGCAACGAUGCGUAGCCGACCUGAGAGGGUGAUCGGCCACACUGGAACUGAGACACGGUCCAGACUCCUACGGGAGGCAGCAGUAGGGAAUCUUCCGCAAUGGGCGAAAGCUUGACGGAGCAACGCCGCGUGAGUGAUGAAGGUCUUCGGAUCGUAAAACUCUGUUAUUAGGGAAGAACAAAUGUGUAAGUAACUAUGCACGUCUUGACGGUACCUAAUCAGAAAGCCACGGCUAACUACGUG
rnacentral:rRNA from 1 species